rnacentral:tRNA from 1 species
GCCUCUGUGGCACAAUGGUACUGCGCUCGUCUCGAAAACGAGUUUCCGAAAGGAUUUCCAGGUUCGAUUCCUGGCAGAGGCG